rnacentral:rRNA from 1 species
UACGUAGGGGGCAAGCGUUGUCCGGAUUUAUUGGGCGUAAAGAGCGUGUAGGCGGCCAUACAGGUCCGUUGUGAAAACUCGAGGCUCAACCUCGAGACGUCGAUGGAAACCGUAUGGCUAGAGUCCGGAAGAGGAGAGUGGAAUUCCUGGUGUGCGGUGAAAUGCGCAGAUAUCAGGAAGAACACCCGUGGCGAAGGCGGCUCUCUGGGACGGUACUGACGCUGAGACGCGAAGGCGUGGGGAGCGAACGGG